rnacentral:rRNA from 1 species
CCUACGGGGGGCUGCAGUGGGGAAUAUUGGACAAUGGGGGCAACCCUGAUCCAGCCAUGCCGCGUGUGUGAAGAAGGCCCUCGGGUUGUAAAGCACUUUCAGUGAGGAAGAACGCCUGGUGGUUAAUACCCAUCAGGAAAGACAUCACUCACAGAAGAAGCACCGGCUAACUCCGUGCCAGCAGCCGCGGUAAUACGGAGGGUGCGAGCGUUAAUCGGAAUUACUGGGCGUAAAGCGCGCGUAGGUGGCUUGAUAAGCCGGUUGUGAAAGCCCCGGGCUCAACCUGGGAACGGCAUCCGGAACUGUCAAGCUAGAGUGCAGGAGAGGAAGGUAGAAUUCCCGAUGUAGCGGUGAAAUGCGUAGAGAUCGGGAGGAAUACCAGUGGCGAAGGCGGCCUUCUGGACUGACACUGACACUGAGGUGCGAAAGCGUGGGUAGCAAACAGGAUUAGAUACCCCAGUAGUC